GCCUGGGUGGCUUAGUCGGUUAAGUGCCUGACUUUGACUCAGGUCAUGAUCUCACAGUUCAUGACUUCGAGCCCCAUGUCAGGCU
rnacentral:tRNA from 1 species